GCUGGGUGUGGUGGCUCACACCUGUAAUUCCAGCACUCUGGGAGGCCGAGGCAGGAGGAUAACUUGAGCCCAGGAGUUUGAGACCAGCCUGGGCAACAUAGUGAGACCCUGUCUCUU
rnacentral:SRP_RNA from 2 species